UACGUAGGGUGCGAGCGUUAAUCGGAAUUACUGGGCGUAAAGCGUGCGCAGGCGGUUUUGUAAAUCAGAUGUGAAAUCCCCGGGCUUAACCUGGGAACUGCGUUUGAAACUACAAGGCUAGAGUGUGGCAGAGGGGGGUGGAAUUCCACGUGUAGCAGUGAAAUGCGUAGAGAUGUGGAGGAACACCGAUGGCGAAGGCAGCCCCCUGGGUUAACACUGACGCUCAGGCACGAAAGCGUGGGGAGCAAACAGG
rnacentral:rRNA from 1 species